UAUUUAAGAGCCGCGGUAUUUUGACCGUGCAAAGGUAGCAUAAUCAUUAGGGGUUUAAUUGGAACCUGGUAUGAAGGGUUGGACAAAGGAAGAGCUGUCUCCGUAUUGUAAGUUGAAGUUUACCUUUAAGUGAAAAGGCUUAAAUAGGUCAAAGGGACGAUAAGACCCUAUAAAGCUUUAUAAAUUACUUAGGUUUAAUUGAUUUAAGUUUUAAAGAUUAGAUUUAUAUUAUUUUAUUUUGUUGGGGCGAUAUGAGUAUAAUUGUUGUAACUGCUUAGGAUAAAUACAAGUUUAAGUGAGUGUAUAAUUAAAUGAUCCUUUUUUAAGAUUAUAAGACUAAGUUACUUUAGGGAUAACAGCGUUAUUUCUUUUGAGAGUUCAUAUCGAAAAAGAAGAUUGCGACCUCGAUGUUGAAUUAAAAUAUCUAUAUAAUGCAGCCGUUAUAAAAGAGGGUCUGUUCGACCUUUAAAUUUUUACAUGAUUUGAGUUCAGACCGGCGUAAGCCAGGUUGGUUUCUAUC
rnacentral:rRNA from 1 species